GAUGAACGCUAGCGGGAGGCCUAACACAUGCAAGCCGAGCGGUAGAGAUUCUUCGGAAUCUUGAGAGCGGCGUACGGGUGCGGAACACGUGUGCAACCUGCCUUUAUCAGGGGGAUAGCCUUUCGAAAGGAAGAUUAAUACCCCAUAAUAUAUUUGAUGGCAUCAUUAGAUAUUGAAAGCUUUGGCGGAUAGAGAUGGGCACGCGCAAGAUUAGAUCGUUGGUGAGGUAACGGCUCACCAAGUCGAUGAUCUUUAGGGGGCCUGAGAGGGUGAUCCCCCACACUGGUACUGAGACACGGACCAGACUCCUACGGGAGGCAGCAGGGAGGAAUAUUGGACAAUGGGUUAGCGCCUGAUCAGCCAUCCCGCGUGAAGGACGACGGCCCUAUGGGUUGUAAACUUCUUUUGUACAGGGAUAAACCUACUCUCGUGAGAGUAGCUGAAGGUACUGUACGAAUAAGCACCGGCUAACUCCGUG
rnacentral:rRNA from 1 species